AGAGUUUGAUCCUGGCUCAGGAUGAACGCUGGCGGCGUGCUUAACACAUGCAAGUCGAACGGGGAACAUUUUAUGGAAACUUCGGUGGAAAUAGCUUGUUCCUAGUGGCGGACGGGUGAGUAACGCGUGGGUAACCUGCCUCACACUGGUGGGAUAACAGUCAGAAAUGACUGCUAAUACCGCAUAAGCGCACGGGAUUGCAUGAUCCAGUGUGAAAAACUCCGGUGGUGUAAGAUGGACCCGCGUUGGAUUAGCUAGUUGGCAGGGUAACGGCCUACCAAGGCGACGAUCCAUAGCCGGCCUGAGAGGGUGGACGGCCACAUUGGGACUGAGACACGGCCCAGACUCCUACGGGAGGCAGCAGUGGGGAAUAUUGCACAAUGGGGGAAACCCUGAUGCAGCGACGCCGCGUGAAGGAAGAAGUAUCUCGGAUUGUAAACUUCUAUCAGCAGGGAAGAAAAUGACGGUACCUGACUAAUAAGCCCCGGCUAACUACGUGCCAGCACCCGCGGUAAUACGUAGGGGGCAAGCGUUAUCCGGAUUUACUGGGUGUAAAGGGAGCGUAGACGGAAUGGCAAGUCUGAUGUGAAAGGCCGGGGCUCAACCCCGGGACUGCAUUGGAAACUGUCAAUCUAGAGUACCGGAGGGGUAAGUGGAAUUCCUAGUGUAGCGGUGAAAUGCGUAGAUAUUAGGAGGAACACCAGUGGCGAAGGCGGCUUACUGGACGGUAACUGACGUUGAGGCUCGAAAGCGUGGGGAGCAAACAGGGAUUAGAUACCCUGGUAGUCCACGCCGUAAACGAUGAUUACUAGGUGUUGGAGGAUUGACCCCUUCAGUGCCGCAGUUAACACAAUAAGUAAUCCACCUGGGGAGUACGACCGCAAGGUUGAAACUCAAAGGAAUUGACGGGGGCCCGCACAAGCAGUGGAGUAUGUGGUUUAAUUCGACGCAACGCGAAGAACCUUACCAAGUCUUGACAUCGAUCUGACCGGACUGUAAUGAGUCCUUUCCCUUCGGGGACAGAGAAGACAGGUGGUGCAUGGUUGUCGUCAGCUCGUGUCGUGAGAUGUUGGGUUAAGUCCCGCAACGAGCGCAACCCCUAUCCCCAGUAGCCAGCGGUUCGGCCGGGCACUCUGAGGAGACUGCCAGGGAUAACCUGGAGGAAGGCGGGGAUGACGUCAAAUCAUCAUGCCCCUUAUGAUUUGGGCUACACACGUGCUACAAUGGCGUAAACAAAGGGAAGCAAGCCUGCGAAGGUAAGCAAAUCCCAAAAAUAACGUCCCAGUUCGGACUGCAGUCUGCAACUCGACUGCACGAAGCUGGAAUCGCUAGUAAUCGCGGAUCAGAAUGCCGCGGUGAAUACGUUCCCGGGUCUUGCACACACCGCCCGUCA
rnacentral:rRNA from 1 species